rnacentral:misc_RNA from 1 species
UUAGUUAGAUGACACGGCGUG